rnacentral:misc_RNA from 1 species
CUCGAGUACGCGCCUUGAAUUUAGGCGUCCACACUUAUCGGUUAGUUUCUUGCGACAGCGAGUGGCGCAGGGUGGUGCAGAUUCAGCGAUCAACGGCGGCUUCUUGCAGCGCCGGGCCCUGACAGCAAUGAGGUUCGCAGGGUCUGUAGCUCAGCUGGUUAGAGCACCGUCUUGAUAAGGCGGGGGUCGUUGGUUCGAGUCCAACCAGACCCACCAUCUCGGUAAGUUUCGGGUACCCGGGGGUGUAGCUCAGUUGGGAGAGCGCCUGCUUUGCAAGCAGGAGGUCAUCGGUUCGAUCCCGUUCACCUCCACCAUUCGCCGGCAAUCGUCAAACGAAAGUCCAUUCGGUGGAUUUCCGUUUGACCCUUGGUCAAGUCGCUGUUUUGAUCUUUAACAAUUCGGAAGAAGCAAAGCGUUUCAGUCCCGCGCCUGGUGAUGAGCCGGGAAGGGACUGAUAACGGGUUGUGAUUGCAUUCGAGCUCUCAGCAACAACUGAGAACAGCAACAUGGUCGCCCGAUGACCGUGCCCGCCGCAAGGCAGCACCGUUAUAG